rnacentral:rRNA from 1 species
CGACUGUUUUACCAAAAACAUAGCUUCUAGAAAUAAUUAGAAGUAAAAUCCUGCCCGGUGAAAGCAAUUUUAAACGGCCACAAUCGUGCUAAGGUAGCGUAAUCAGUUGUCCUUUUACUGAGGACUAGUAUGAAAGGAAAAACGAGGCUCAACUGUCUCUAUUAAAAAAAUAAAAAUUAGUUUUUAGAUGAAAAAAUCUAAAUGAAAUUAAAGGACGAAAAGACCCUAUAGAGUUUAAAUAUAAUUAUACUAUUCACAAAUUAAACAAAACGAAUAGGAUAAGUAUUUUAAUUGGGGCAACAUAGGAACAAGAAAUUUCCUUAUAGUAAACAUUUAACAUCAUAAAAAUAAAAAUCCUCAAAGAGAUAAAGAAAAACUACCUUAGGGAUAACAGCGUAAUUUUUCUAAAGAGACCUAAUCGAAAGAAAAGUUUGCGACCUCGAUGUUGGACUAAGGCAUCAAAAUGGUGAAGAAACUAUUAAAAGUAGGCCUGUUCGGCCUAAUAGCCUUACAUGAUUUGGUUCAUUCCGUAA